CGGACGGGUGAGUAACGCGUAGAAUCUGCCUUCAGGAGGGGGAUAACGACUAGAAAUGGUCGCUAAUACCCCAUAUGCCUAUGGGUGAAAUGAGUUUUGCCUGAAGAUGAGCUCGCGUCAGAUUAGCUAGUUGGUGAGGUAACGGCUCACCAAGGCGACGAUCUGUAGCUGGUCUGAGAGGAUGAUCAGCCACACUGGGACUGAGACACGGCCCAGACUCCUACGGGAGGCAGCAGUGGGGAAUUUUCCGCAAUGGGCGAAAGCCUGACGGAGCAAGACCGCGUGAGGGAUGACGGCCUAAUGGUUGUAAACCUCUUUUAUUCGGGAAGAUAAUGACGGUACCGAAUGAAUCAGCCUCGGCUAACUCCGUGCCAGCAGCCGCGGUAAUACGGAGGAGGCAAGCGUUAUCCGGAAUUAUUGGGCGUAAAGCGUCCGUAGGUGGUUAUACAAGUCAGCUGUUAAAGAGUGGUGCUUAACACCAUAAAGGCGGUUGAAACUGUAGGACUAGAGUUUGGUAGGGGUUGCGGGAAUUCCCAGUGUAGCGGUGAAAUGCGUAGAUAUUGGGAAGAACACCGGUGGCGAAAGCGCGCGACUGGACCUGAACUGACACUGAGGGACGAAAGCUAGGGGAGCGAAAGGGAUUAGAUACCCCUGUANUCAA
rnacentral:rRNA from 1 species